rnacentral:rRNA from 1 species
GAUGAACGCGGGCGGCGUGCCUAAUACAUGCAAGUGGAACGCUGAAGCUUGGUGCUUGCACCGAGCGGAUGAGUUGCGAACGGGUGAGUAACGCGUAGGUAACCUGCCUCUUAGCGGGGGAUAACUAUUGGAAACGAUAGCUAAUACCGCAUAAAAGUCGACAUCGCAUGAUGUUGACUUGAAAGGUGCAAUUGCAUCACUAAGAGAUGGACCUGCGUUGUAUUAGCUAGUUGGUGAGGUAACGGCUCACCAAGGCGACGAUACAUAGCCGACCUGAGAGGGUGAUCGGCCACACUGGGACUGAGACACGGCCCAGACUCCUACGGGAGGCAGCAGUAGGGAAUCUUCGGCAAUGGGGGCAACCCUGACCGAGCAACGCCGCGUGAGUGAAGAAGGUUUUCGGAUCGUAAAGCUCUGUUGUAAGAGAAGAACGAGUGUGAGAGUGGAAAGUUCACGCUGUGACGGAUCUACCAGAAAG